UUGGACUUCAUCCAAAUUUAAACUUUUUAUAUUCCUUCAGAGAAGGUCAGCAUGGCCCCUAUGCAAGCAUGCCAUGCAAAUUCAUGAAGUGCUCCGUAUUUUU
ensembl:snRNA U6 U6 spliceosomal RNA